rnacentral:pre_miRNA from 1 species
UUGGUUUGUUCUGAGUCAAAUUUGUUCAACUUUUACCAAGUUUAUAGAAAAUUAUAACAAUAACUAUACUAUCAAACAUAUGCAUUGUCAAAACAUAUUCAAUGAUGGAUUCAACAAACAAAUUUGGUAUUGUAAAUGUUGUUAUAUUUUUCUAUAAACUUGGUCAAAGUUAAAUAAAUUUGAUUUAGGACAAACUAAA